GAGUUUGAUCGUGGCUCAGGAUGAACGCUAGCGACAGGCUUAACACAUGCAAGUCGAGGGGCAGCAUGAUUUGUAGCAAUACAGAUUGAUGGCGACCGGCGCACGGGUGAGUAACGCGUAUGCAACUUACCUAUCAGAGGGGGAUAGCCCGGCGAAAGUCGGAUUAACUACCCCAAUAAAACGAGGGGGUCCCGCAUGGGAAUAUUUGUUAAAGAUUCAUCGCUGAUAGAUAGGCAUGCGUUCCAUUAGGCAGUU
rnacentral:rRNA from 1 species